UAAAAAAUACGUAAUAAUAGAAUAUUUUUAUACGCCAAAGAAGAGUUACCAAAUUACCAAAAAAACAGAUGCGGGCUAUGUAAAAGGAAAGAAGAAGACCCGAGACAUGUAAUAGAAGAAUGCGAAAUAACGGGAGGACCAAAGGACAUAGAAAAACAUUGAAUGAGACUGGAGAAGGACUGACAGAACUAAAAGCAAUAACAGAGGAGAGAAAGGCGAUAC